rnacentral:rRNA from 1 species
GAUGAACGCUAGCGGGAGGCCUAACACAUGCAAGCCGAGCGGUAUUGUUUCUUCGGAAAUGAGAGAGCGGCGUACGGGUGCGGAACACGUGUGCAACCUGCCUUUAUCUGGGGGAUAGCCUUUCGAAAGGAAGAUUAAUACUCCAUAAUAUAUUGAACGGCAUCGUUCAAUAUUGAAAGCUCCGGCGGAUAGAGAUGGGCACGCGCAAGAUUAGCUAGUUGGUGGGGUAACGGCUCACCAAGGCGAUGAUCUUUAGGGGGCCUGAGAGGGUGAUCCCCCACACUGGUACUGAGACACGGACCAGACUCCUACGGGAGGCAGCAGUGAGGAAUAUUGGUCAAUGGGUGCAAGCCUGAACCAGCCAUCCCGCGUGAAGGACGACUGCCCUAUGGGUUGUAAACUUCUUUUGUAUAGGGAUAAACCUACCCUCGUGAGGGUAGCUGAAGGUACUAUACGAAUAAGCACCGGCUAACUCCGUGCCAGCAGCCGCAGUAA